CUGCCUCUGCCCAAUCCCUCCGGGGCCCCUUCUCCCAACCCUUGUACCAGAGUCCAUCAGAGACCCGGUACGGGCUGUGGGGGACGGGGAGUCGGGGCUGAGCCACCCGACCCAGG
rnacentral:pre_miRNA from 15 species